rnacentral:rRNA from 1 species
UCGAACGAUGAAGCCCUUCGGGGUGGAUUAGUGGCGAACGGGUGAGUAACACGUGGGCAAUCUGCCCUGCACUCUGGGACAAGCCCUGGAAACGGGGUCUAAUACCGGAUGACACUUUCUCUCGCAUGGGAGAAGGUUGAAAGCUCCGGCGGUGCAGGAUGAGCCCGCGGCCUAUCAGCUAGUUGGUGAGGUAGAAGCUCACCAAGGCGACGACGGGUAGCCGGCCUGAGAGGGCGACCGGCCACACUGGGACUGAGACACGGCCCAGACUCCUACGGGAGGCAGCAGUGGGGAAUAUUGCACAAUGGGCGAAAGCCUGAUGCAGCGACGCCGCGUGAGGGAUGACGGCCUUCGGGUUGUAAACCUCUUUCAGCAGGGAAGAAGCGAAAGUGACGGUACCUGCAGAAGAAGCGCCGGCUAACUACGUGCCAGCAGCCGCGGUAAUACGUAGGGCGCAAGCGUUGUCCGGAAUUAUUGGGCGUAAAGAGCUCGUAGGCGGCUUGUCACGUCGGUUGUGAAAGCCCGGGGCUUAACCCCGGGUCUGCAGUCGAUACGGGCAGGCUAGAGUGUGGUAGGGGAGAUCGGAAUUCCUGGUGUAGCGGUGAAAUGCGCAGAUAUCAGGAGGAACACCGGUGGCGAAGGCGGAUCUCUGGGCCAUUACUGACGCUGAGGACCGAAAGCUUGGGGAGCGAACAGGAAUAAAUACCCUGGUAGUCCACGCCGUAAACGGUGGGAACUAAGGUGUUGGC